UGGGAGUGCUCGAAAGAGAACCUGCACACAGGUGCUGCAUGGCUGUCGUCAGCUCGUGUCGUGAGAUGUUGGGUUAAGUCCCGCAACGAGCGCAACCCUUGUCAUUAGUUGCUACGCAAGAGCACUCUAAUGAGACUGCCGGUGACAAACCGGAGGAAGGUGGGGAUGACGUCAAGUCCUCAUGGCCCUUAUGGGUAGGGCUUCACACGUCAUACAAUGGUACAUACAGAGGGCCGCCAACCCGCGAGGGGGAGCUAAUCCCAGAAAGUGUAUCGUAGUCCGGAUUGUAGUCUGCAACUCGACUACAUGAAGUUGGAAUCGCUAGUAAUCGCGGAUCAGCAUGUCGCGGUGAAUACGUUCCCGGGUCUUGUACACACCGCCCGUCACACCAUGGGAGCGGGUUUUACCAGAAGUAGGUAGCUUAACCGUAAGGAGGGCGCUUACCACGGUAGGAUUCGUGACUGGGGUGAAGUCGUAACAAGGUAGCCGUAUCGGAAGGUGCGGCUGGAUCACCUCCUUUCUAG
rnacentral:rRNA from 1 species